rnacentral:lncRNA from 1 species
GGGACCCUGAGAUCUUGGUGUAACCAAGCUCCUGUGAUCCUGUGAUCGUAGAUGUGUUAGAGUGCCUGGGAGUGGAGCUUCCUCUGGGUGUUGUGGGACUGACUGCCAAGUUCGCACCCAAAGUCUGCUUAAGACACAGAUGAAUGAUGCCCACAAAUCAAGAGCAGGUCUUUGAAGGUUAUACCCAAGUCUGAUUCCAGCCUGAAGUCUCUGCUUCCUGGUCUACUUUGAUGGAGGGACACUCCACCACACAUUUCCAUCACCAACUGCUCCUGACAUGCUUCUGUGCCAUGGCAGUCUCUGCAGUUUCCUGCUAAACAUCAACUGUAUCAAGAAAGAGGAAACAGCUUCAGCAAGCAGUUAAUAUCUAACCCAGUACUUUGCGCGUAUUGACUGAUGGCAUCAGCAGGCAGCCUACGCCUAAAAGAUGGCGCCGGUUUCCAGUACACUGUGGCCAUAAACAACCUUACUGCGCCUGCGCUAGUCAACACUUGGCCCCAACCCCUCCCUAUCGGGUGCAUGCUAAUGAAGUGUCGACAGGCCGACCAAUCCCAGGAGGACACAUAGCC